rnacentral:rRNA from 1 species
CCUACGGGGAGCUGCAGUGGGGGAUAUUGCACAAUGGGGGGAAACCCUGAUGCAGCGACGCCGCGUGGGUGAAGAAGCGCCUCGGCGCGUAAAGCCCUGUCAGCAGGGAAGAAAAUGACGGUACCUGACGAAGAAGCCCCGGCUAACUACGUGCCAGCAGCCGCGGUAAUACGUAGGGGGCAAGCGUUAUCCGGAUUUACUGGGUGUAAAGGGGGCGCAGACGGCGAUGCAAGCCAGGAGUGAAAGCCCGGGGCCCAACCCCGGGACUGCUCUUGGAACUGCGUGGCUAGAGUGCAGGAGGGGCAGGCGGAAUUCCUGGUGUAGCGGUGAAAUGCGUAGAUAUCAGGAGGAACACCGGUGGCGAAGGCAUCUCACGAAUCCGCGAUUGACGCUGAUGCACGAAAGCGUGGGUAUCAAACAGGAUUAGAUACCCCUGUAGUC